AAUGUUUGAUGAGACACAGCUAUUGUUAUGAUCACACCUGAUUUCCACUUCAAACUGCAAAAGUCAAUGUUCUGUGCACAACUCAAAAAGAGUUUAUUUUAAAAAAGCAAAUAUUGUUCCAUUGAAGGAUCAUAAAGGGAUUUCCUCCUUAAAGGCAACACCGGGAAGGGGUAUCAGGCCUGAACGUCAGACAGUGAGGAGCUCGUGUCGUAUGAACCACAGACAGCGAGAGGCUGGACAGACCAACAUGGGCACUGAUAGAAAAUGACUUGGCAGUCACCCAAGUGGAUCAUUACCUUCUGCCCUACAAAUGCGAUGUAGCAGAGAAGCGGAUAGCAGCUCCGGACUUCAAGGUGUUCUCCCCUGAUGUUCACUGGAACACAUCGACAAGCUUGUUCUCCGCCUCCAUCAGGGCGGAUUGUGGCAUAAUGCGAUUAAACGCACUGCCCACUUUGUAACUGUCUGCUGAGUGCUUCAGGGCGGCAGAGAAAUGUUUGCUCUGAUCGUCAGCGUGAGUUUGAUUUACAGGCACUGCAGAGCAAACAACACGAGUGGACAUCAUCUUCUGUCUGUGUGGGUGUCAAAAUGAGAGCAGGUAGUACAUUAAAGUUCAUGACUCAAGCAUGGGCCAUCAGUCAAGCUACAUUUUAAUGAUUAUGUCAUAAGAAAAAUAAAUAAGAGUGAGUGAACAAAAUAUGAGAAGUUAAGAAACAAGUGUUAGUAAAACUGGAUGGUUCUUAUGCUAUUUUUUUUUUUUUUCACGUCUCCAUUUUGUUUUUGGCCAUCAACCUAAAUGCCUUCACGAGAGACCAUAGCAGACGGGACUUUUCUGGUCCUUGUUGCAGGUUUUCUCCCCAUGGACAAAAUGGAAGCCACAAUUCUCACACCUGUGUUUGCCCACAUUACCUUGAGUUGACACUGUAGGUUGGCUUGCUAUGCCAGCCAGCCGCCUGGUGGACAGCAGAGCUUGCUUGCUCAAUAUAGAGGGGCUCGCUAACAUGCUACAGUGGAGCGUGCUAGCAUGCUAUAGUGGAGCUAGCUAGCUUGAUACAGAGGAAUUCGCUAGCAUGCUACAGUGGAGCUCACUAGCA